UACGGAGGGAGCUAGCGUUGUUCGGAAUUACUGGGCGUAAAGCGCACGUAGGCGGCUUUGUAAGUCAGAGGUGAAAGCCUGGAGCUCAACUCCAGAACUGCCUUUGAAACUACAUCGCUAGAAUCAUGGAGAGGUUAGUGGAAUUCCGAGUGUAGAGGUGAAAUUCGUAGAUAUUCGGAAGAACACCAGUGGCGAAGGCGACUAACUGGACAUGUAUUGACGCUGAGGUGCGAAAGCGUGGGGAGCAAACAGG
rnacentral:rRNA from 1 species